AAACCGGUCCUUUUUAGGACCAACAAUUUGUUUUUGAAAAGUGCUG
rfam:Megaselia scalaris, Durham, NC isolate 2 -- Noor lab, WGS project CAQQ02000000 data, contig: ctg0000177181